rnacentral:rRNA from 2 species
GGGUUGUGAGGUUAAGCGACUAAGCGUACACGGUGGAUGCCCUGGCAGUCAGAGGCGAUGAAGGACGUGCUAAUCUGCGAUAAGCGCCGGUAAGGUGAUAUGAACCGUUAUAACCGGCGAUUUCCGAAUGGGGAAACCCAGUGUGAUUCGUCACACUAUCAUUAACUGAAUCCAUAGGUUAAUGAGGCGAACCGGGGGAACUGAAACAUCUAAGUACCCCGAGGAAAAGAAAUCAACCGAGAUUCCCCCAGUAGCGGCGAGCGAACGGGGAGGAGCCCAGAGCCUGAAUCAGCAUGUGUGUUAGUGGAAGCGUCUGGAAAGGCGCGCGAUACAGGGUGACAGCCCCGUACACAAAAGCGCAUGUGCUGUGAGCUCGAUGAGUAGGGCGGGACACGUGGUAUCCUGUCUGAAUAUGGGGGGACCAUCCUCCAAGGCUAAAUACUCCUGACUGACCGAUAGUGAACCAGUACCGUGAGGGAAAGGCGAAAAGAACCCCGGCGAGGGGAGUGAAAAAGAACCUGAAACCGUGUACGUACAAGCAG